UGAAUGUGCUCAUCAUCAUCCUCAGUCUUCAGCAACUUUGGGAGGCUGGACUCUGGUGAGAUGCCACAUAAAGACAUUCUACAAAAUCAUCAUCUGUCUCUUCCUCUGAUUCUGAACUCAUGCUCAUGUUUGACCUCUAACAUGUCAAAAGAGGAACUCUUCCCAAGACUGGGGGAAAAGCCCAGUUUUGUAAGCUUAGCAACUGUAUACUGAGAAAUGGUGUGGAAGUAAGGAACAGCAGAAAAUGUAUUUGCAGAUAAAAAGAAGAGAAGGAAAUCUUAUGCAAAGAGACUGUAAUGAUGCUGUAACUCUAUGACAUCAGCUGCUGUUUGCCAGCACAGUGCAUAGCAGAGGAGAAUGACUUGUCUGAAUCGACGUGGUGAUGACACAGAGGAGGAACAGAUGGCACAGAGCUGCCCCUGCUCCAUUCAUCAUGUCCAGUGGAAACAAUGACAAUACCGCACUGGUUCUCAGCAAAUUACAGAGCUCAGCAAACAAAUCAGCCUGACUGGCAGAGGUCUUGGAAAAGGAAACUAAAAUCUGCCUUGCACUGCUCUAGAGGUUACAUGGCUAUGGAUCACAUCGCUGCUGAAAGAGGUCAGUAGAGAAAUGUCCCAGGAAAGAGAUUUUGCCUCUACCUAGAGCUUGUAAAGUGGGUUUUUUUAUAGCCUUUGGCUUGGCUGAGUAGCUCUGUUGGCAUCACUGGAUCUAGCUAGCUAAGUUUUUUUAUUUAAGAAGUAAGAAUUGAAGAAUCAACUUUAUGAGAAAUUUCCAGGUAAGGGUAUAGUAAUGGCAUCAGCUUUGUAAUGGCAAGAAGAUGGAGCAGAAGACACAGUGGGCUCUCUUGUGCUUGCUGCUGGAUUUUUGCAGGAGGCUCUUAGUUGCUAUUUAGUUAUUCUUUUUGUCUUGGUGUGAGUUUUUUAAUUAAUGUUUGUUUUGUCUGAUUAUGACAUUCUAGUCAGAUAUAUUUUAUUUUUAUAUCAGAAGAUAAGGACAGAACUGUAUCAACUGUGCAAUUUAUGAAGCCUUAAUCCUUUCCUUGCAAGGAGAUAAAAGUUGCAGGUGCUAUAAAUGUCCUCAGGUUAGGUACAGAUUCCUAACUGGAUUUCUUUAUCAUAUAUCAAUCAGAUAUUUGUAACAGACAAAAAAAUCUCAACAAUUUCCGAUGCUUUGAGUACUCAAAGCUUAUUGACAUCCAGAUGCAAUCAGAAAACUGGUUCUGGUAAUAUUGCCUAAGAACCCAGGCUGACAGCAUCUCUAAAAGCUUAAGGCUUUCAAGCAUUGUCUUGUCAUCUUACCAUGCCCUGUGCAGAACAAGGAGGUGCAGAGGUGUGGAGAGGCAGCUGUGCCAGCCCCAGGGCUGUGCAGGGGCAGUGUGGACCUGCCAGACGCAGAGGAGCCCUGCCUGUUGUACCGUGCCCUGCCCUGUUGCAACACUGGUUACGUGUGUCCACCUGUGCCAUGGGUCUGAGUUGCUCUAGAUUAUUCCCUGACCAAUAUCAAACCAUUUUGUGUCUCCUUCAAGUUGUGCAAGGCCAGUUGAGGGGAUCUUUCAGUGAUGGUGUGUGGUUUUAUUUCCAGGUGCAGUGUCAUAUCCCACCUAUCUAUUGCUAAAGAUGCAAACACAGAUAUGGGUUUCUUCCAUGUAACGAUUUAAGGAAUUUAGUCUACAGCUGGUGCUGGUGAAAUGUGGAUGACUCAAAAGACAGCCUGGGAGUGACUGACCAGCUGAUGGCUGGUACUUGCUCUUGCUUUGUUUAUAUGGUGUUUCUCUAUCUGUUCAUGAAGUCAUCUACAUAUCUGAGGCAGAAAUUCCCUCCAAGACCCAUGUGUCCACAUACAUCAAAUAUAAAUAUAAGUCAUCAAUGGUACAUAGAAUUUAUGAGAUGGAUUUUUUUUGUAAGGGAAAUUAUUGUGAGAACAAAAAAGGUUUUUUCAGUGUGUACUCCGUUACCUGCAUGCUCUGCUGCCAAUUUAAACACUAUCAGAAACUUGUUUUGUUGUUGAUUUUAACAGAGGAAUAGACUUGGGUUCCCAGUUUUUUCAGCUCUUGUUUGACAUUGGUGUUUGUCCACUCAAAACAAGCAUUAAGCUGUCUCAUGUCUUUGUUUAGACCCUUAUUGUUUCAUGUAGUAUGUAAAUGUGAAUCUGUCAUGAACUGAAAUUAUCACGGUCUUGCAAUUAGAUUGCAAGACCUUUUCACAACUCUGCUGUAAGUAACUGUACUCUGGGAUGAGCAGGAUUCCUACAAAAUCCUUCUGGCUUAGGACAUGACAGUUUUCUGGGAUGAGCUUUCAUGCUUUCUUGCAACAUUUAUUUUUAUUUUAUUGGUAGGUAAUCCAGCACAGUAUUAUAAAUGAGGACACUGUGAAUCCAGUAUUGUUGUUUUAAAUGACGUCAUUGUGACCACUACAAUGGCACUACAUUUCUGACUGGGCCAGAAGUCUAAUGGAAGGUUAGAAUGUUUUGUCCCCAUUUCUUGAGUGCAUCAGCAGAGUUCAGCCUUUUAACCUGUCCUAUGUAACAAUGGAAUUUUUAUCAGAAAAGUUAUUUUCUUCAAACACUGAGAGACUACUUAGACAAGGCCCAACCCCUCUCUGUUCUCUCAGUUGUUAAAACUUGGCUAAUUAACCGUACAUAUUUUGCUUCACUUUUCACCACACUCCUCAGCAAUUUGUCUCAGAGCAUUUAAAAAGGACUUAAACACUUUUAUCCUGAUUUCAAUGUGAAAAUCCAGUGGUGUUAACAGGAUGAUGACAAAGCAAGGAAUAAAACCUAGAACCUGGAGAUUCAUUGAUGCUUUUCCUACAGAUUUAUAAUAAUUGUAGUCAUGUCUUGCAAACUUUACUAUCAUUUUUGUAGAACAUGGUGUGUGAUCUGCUGGUAAUCUUAGAAAUUCACCAUCCUCUUGCUAAAGUAUGAAGAGUGACCAGUCCUCAAGCCACUAAAGAGAAGUGCAGAUUCAGUCUUGGUAGGAUUGGUGUCCCCUGCAGUUGAAUACAUGCAGUUCUUGUACAGUCAGCACAGCAAAUGUUUUCCUCCCACAUCCCAGAAUGAUAAAAAUAGGGUAUUGCUAGUGGUGGUUUUGGUGUUGCAAAGAAGACAAUUACUGAGUUCUUCCUCCAGUGUCCAGGCAGCACAGAUCCUCAUACCUCAGAGCAACAGAUUUAGGUGCAGGCAACAGGUAACAUGAUAGAUAUGUAUAUAGAAGUCUGAGCAAUAGAUGAGAUGGCUUUGAUUAAGGUACAGUUCUGAAGGGCACCAUUAUUUUGGCUUGUUUUAUUUUCCUGUUUUGAUUUUGGUUUUUUGUUUGGUUGGUUUUUUGGCUUUUAUUUUUU